AGUGGCGAACGGGUGAGUAACACGUGGGUAACCUGCCCAUCAGAAGGGGAUAACACUUGGAAACAGGUGCUAAUACCGUAUAACAAUCGAAACCGCAUGGUUUUGAUUUGAAAGGCGCUUUCGGGUGUCGCUGAUGGAUGGACCCGCGGUGCAUUAGCUAGUUGGUGAGGUAACGGCUCACCAAGGCCACGAUGCAUAGCCGACCUGAGAGGGUGAUCGGCCACAUUGGGACUGAGACACGGCCCAAACUCCUACGGGAGGCAGCAGUAGGGAAUCUUCGGCAAUGGACGAAAGUCUGACCGAGCAACGCCGCGUGAGUGAAGAAGGUUUUCGGAUCGUAAAACUCUGUUGUUAGAGAAGAACAAGGAUGAGAGUAACUGUUCAUCCCUUGACGGUAUCUAACCAGAAAGCCACGGCUAACUACGUGCCAGCAGCCGCGGUAAUACGUAGGUGGCAAGCGUUGUCCGGAUUUAUUGGGCGUAAAGCGAGCGCAGGCGGUUUCUUAAGUCUGAUGUGAAAGCCCCCGGCUCAACCGGGGAGGGUCAUUGGAAACUGGGAGACUUGAGUGCAGAAGAGGAGAGUGGAAUUCCAUGUGUAGCGGUGAAAUGCGUAGAUAUAUGGAGGAACACCAGUGGCGAAGGCGGCUCUCUGGUCUGUAACUGACGCUGAGGCUCGAAAGCGUGGGGAGCAAACAGGAUUAGAUACCCUGGUAGUCCACGCCGUAAACGAUGAGUGCUAAGUGUUGGAGGGUUUCCGCCCUUCAGUGCUGCAGCUAA
rnacentral:rRNA from 1 species